CAAUAGCGUAUAUUAAAGUUGUUGCAGUUAAAAAGCUCGUAGUUGGACUCGUGGUGGUCUUUGGGGUCCGAUUUCGGUACUCCCGGGGACUGCCAUCUUUGGGUGGAUCCUGUGUGGCAUUAGGUUGUCGUGCAGGGGAUGCCCAUCGUUUACUGUGAAAAAAUUAGAGUGUUCAAAGCAGGCUUAUGCCGUUGAAUAUAUUAGCAUGGAAUAAUGAGAUAGGACCUUGGUACUAUUUUGUUGGUUUGCGCACCGAGGUAAUGAUUAAUAGGGACAGUUGUGGGUAUUCGUAUUCCAUUGUCAGAGGUGAAAUUCUUGGAUUUCUGGAAGACGAACUAAUGCGAAAGCAUUUACCAAGGAUGUUUUCAUUAA
rnacentral:rRNA from 1 species